AUCCCCUAGAGAUCGCACCUGGAGCGUUUCCAAAACUCUACCAGUCUCGGCUACGGGAGGGAGAGUCAAGCAGAUGCCCACCCAUUCCAUUCCUGGCUUGGGCAGUGGCUAGUGAGUGGAAAGCAAUCUGCUACACGU